rnacentral:lncRNA from 1 species
GUGGCACCAGAGAGUAAAUCAGACUAGAUGGAUAGUCGUUAAAAUCCAUAAAAUCGUGCAAUUAAGAAUUCAAAAACCUGAUCUUUAAACUACUUUUAUAUUUUUUUCUAAAAUCAUUAUCUAUAUUAUGAUGUCUAAUUUAGAACUAUUUCAAUUUUUGUGACUCGGUUUUCAUGUUUAUUUGCUAGUAGAUGAUCUUGGUAUGUGUACCCCUCUAUUCCAAAAUAUAAGAGAUUUUAGCUUUUCUAGAUGCAUUGCUUUAUCUAUGCACUGUUUGGUUCAAUUUGUGGGUUGUGAUAAAUUGUUGUGAGCUAUGUGAUAUAGAAAAGUUGUAAAUUGUUUGGUAAAUGUGAUAUAGAAAAAUUGUACAUUGUGAUACAGAAAAAAUUGUAAAUUGUUAAAGGGUCAAAAGGAUUUUAUUUUAUUUUAUUUUUGCGAAUUGGAUUUUUUUUCAUUUCUAAUAACCACAAAAUGGUAAAUGUUUAUAUAAUUCUUGUAAAAUUUCUAUCACACAGGAUAAUGAAGAGAGACGGCAGGAUGCUGACGAGUGACAAUCGUCCAGCAUGGCGGCUGGCAACCCCCUAGUGUGACAAUUAUAGCGGUUCACAUACAUGUCAUAAUUUACAUGAACAAUCAGCUACUCUAAAACUUAAGCAAGAAAAUGAAUAGUGACAUCAUCUAUCGUGUUCGCAAUAUAAGGAGUUAUAUACAUCUUCACUCAAAGCCUGAUGCUCCUAGGCUGAGGCCAACACAAAACAUCCAUGGGUCUUAGCUACAACAAGCCUACAAUGCAGCUCGUCCUUGGCCCUUUGGUAGCUUCUUUGUUCCAGAAUCUUCCAUAUCCUUUAGUUUGUAAGUAGCCAAUGCCCACGCGUUGGUACGGGUGAUAAAACCAAUUAAUCCAAUUUGCUCCCAUAAGAAGGGUUUCCAAAACAAUGUUGGCACCAAUAACGAAGUUACAGCGACACAUGAUCUAUUAAUUUGCAUCACUGGUAUAAGGCCAUCCUCAAUGGGAGUUUCAUGACACAGUUUCCAACACAUCAAUAUUUUGGAAACAGUGCAUAGAAGUUUCAUGGGGAUGAAACUCUCUCUGCUCCCAUGAAACUCUUAUCAUCUCUCUCUUCAUUAAUAUAGCGCCACAUCAGCAUAUUUAAUGUGUAUGAAACUCUAAUGAAACCCCAUUGAGACUGGCCUAAGUGGAAAUGAAACAUUAAACAUUAAUCAAACUAUAUAUAGCAGUUCACACCUUGCAGUCCAAGGCAUAUGUUGUGUGAUUCUUUUAAUGGAAUGAAUGCUCACUGUUUGAGAUACAAGACCAAGGGCAAGUGCCUGGUAGUGUCUUUUGUGAGCUCAAAGUUGCUCAAGAGGAGAAAAAUGGUAAGAAUUGCAAAAGAAAUAUAUUGCCAUGUCAUUGAAAUUAAGUACCUGCAAGGCUACAGUAGAGCUAAACGGCUUUGUAAACAAAUCAAAACAAGGGUGCUCGAGGUCAGGUAGCACAUCUGCAGGAAAUUCACGUACAUCUCCGCCAACAAAGCUGGUACAAGAAGCAUUUUGUAGCAGUAAUGGCCUGAAGGUCACUGGAAACACAUGUCAAGUGCAAUUUGUAGCAGGGACAUGGUGCUUAGAACUCUACCAUAU